rnacentral:rRNA from 1 species
UACGUAGGGGGCUAGCGUUGUCCGGAAUCAUUGGGCGUAAAGCGCGUGUAGGCGGCCCGGUAAGUCCGCUGUGAAAGUCGGGGGCUCAACCCUCGAAUGCCGGUGGAUACUGUCGGGCUAGAGUGCGGAAGAGGCGAGUGGAAUUCCUGGUGUAGCGGUGAAAUGCGCAGAUAUCAGGAGGAACACCAAUUGCGAAGGCAGCUCGCUGGGACGUAACUGACGCUGAGACGCGAAAGCGUGGGGAGCAAACAGG